ACGCUCGACACCUACGGGAGGGCAGCAGUGGGGAAUAUUGCACAAUGGGGGAAACCCUGAUGCAGCGACGCCGCGUGAAGGAAGAAGUAUUUCGGUAUGUAAACUUCUAUCAGCAGGGAAGAAACUGACGGUACCUGACUAAGAAGCACCGGCUAAAUACGUGCCAGCAGCCGCGGUAAUCUGAGCGGGCUGGCAAGGC
rnacentral:rRNA from 1 species